GUGAAUCAUCAAAUCUUUGAACGCAAAUUGCACUCUCUGGUAUUCCGGAGAGUAUGCCUGUUUGAGGGUCAGUUUAAAUAAAAAUCGGUGUGGUUGCUGCCUUUCGUGGUGACGCACCGGACUUGCGUCGUCUUGCCUUCCGUUGAGAGCCCUAAACUUUUACAUGCUAUAUAUCGAACUUAUUUAAAUGUUUUUACAUACGUUUGCGAUAUCA
rnacentral:misc_RNA from 1 species